GACGAACGCUGGCGGCGCGCUUAACACAUGCAAGUCGAACGGAAAGGCCUGCUUUCCCUUGUGGAUUGCGGGUACUCGAGUGGCGAACGGGUGAGUAACACGUGAGUGAUCUGCCCCCAACUUGGGUAUAAGCCUGGGAAACUGGGUCUAAUUCCCGAUAGGACUGCAGGGUGGUGCCUGUGGUGGAAAACGAUUUUCUAGUGGUUGGGGAUGAGCUCGCGGCCUAUCAGCUUGUUGGUGGGGUAAUGGCCUACCAAGGCGGCGACGGGUAGCCGGCCUGAGAGGGUGGACGGCCACAUUGGGACUGGGAUACGGCCCAGACUCCUACGGGAGGCAGCAGUGGGGAAUAUUGCACAAUGGGCGGAAGCUUGAUGCAGCGACGCCGCGUGGGGGAUGACGGCCUUCGGGUUGUAAACUCCUUUCGACCGCGAGGAAGCCACCUGGUUGGAAGGGUGGUGACGGUAGUGGUAGAAGAAGCACCGGCUAACUACGUG
rnacentral:rRNA from 1 species